CAGCCGCCGCGGUAAUACGGAGGGUGCAAGCGUUAAUCGGAAUUACUGGGCGUAAAGCGCACGCAGGCGGUCUGACAAGUCAGAUGUGAAAUCCCCGGGCUUAACCUGGGAACUGCAUUUGAAACUGUCAGGCUGGAGUCUUGUAGAGGGGGGUAGAAUUCCAGGUGUAGCGGUGAAAUGCGUAGAGAUCGGGAGGAAUACCGGUGGCGAAGGCGGCCCCCUGGACAAAGACUGACGCUCAGGUGCGAAAGCGUGGGGAGCAAACAGGAUUAGAUACCCGCGUAGUCCCUGUCUCUUAUAC
rnacentral:rRNA from 1 species